rnacentral:misc_RNA from 1 species
UGGGUUCUGUGUUUUGUUUCUA